rnacentral:rRNA from 1 species
UACGUAGGUGGCAAGCGUUGUCCGGAAUUAUUGGGCGUAAAGCGCGCGCAGGCGGCUUCUCAAGUCAGGGGUGAAAGCCCAGAGCUUAACUCUGGAAUUGCCUUUGAGACUGAGAGGCUUGAGUACGGGAGAGGUGAGUGGAAUUCCCAGUGUAGAGGUGAAAUUCGUAGAUAUUGGGAAGAACACCGGUGGCGAAGGCGGCUCACUGGCCCGUAACUGACGCUCAUGCACGACAGCGUGGGGAUCAAACAGG